UACGGAGGAGGCAAGCGUUAUCCGGAAUUAUUGGGCGUAAAGCGUCCGCAGGUGGCGAUUCAAGUCUGCGGUUAAAGACUGGGGCUUAACCCUGGAAAGGCCGUGGAAACUGAAACACUAGAGUGCAGUAGGGGUAGAGGGAAUUCCCGGUGUAGCGGUGAAAUGCGUAGAGCUCGGGAAGAACAUCGGUGGCGAAAGCGCUCUGCUGGACUGCAACUGACACUCAGGGACGAAAGCUAGGAGAGCGAAUGGG
rnacentral:rRNA from 1 species